rnacentral:rRNA from 1 species
CGAACGCUGGCGGCGUGCUUAACACAUGCAAGUCGAACGAGAAAGCUCCCUUCGGGGGGUGAGUAAAGUGGCAGACGGGUGAGUAACACGUGGGUAACCUGCCCGCGGGUGGGGGAUAACCCUCCGAAAGGAGGGCUAAUACCGCAUAACAUCUCGAGCUCUUCGGCGCACGAGAUCAAAGCUUGCCUCUUCUUGAAAGCAAGCACCUGUGGAGGGGCCCGCGCCCCAUUAGCUUGUUGGUGAGGUAACGGCUCACCAAGGCCACGAUGGGUAGCCGGCCUGAGAGGGUGAUCUGCCACACUGGAACUGAGACACGGUCCAGACUCCUACGGGAGGCAGCAGUGAGGAAUUUUGCGCAAUGGGCGAAAGCCUGACGCAGCGACGCCGCGUGGAGGACGAAGGUCUUCGGAUCGUAAACUCCUGUCAAGUGGGACGAAAUCCGGGCGGAUGAAUAAGCCGUUCGGUUGACGGUACCACUGAAGGAAGCCCCGGCUAACUCC